rnacentral:tRNA from 1 species
GCGGGAGUGGCUCAGUUGGUAGAGCAUCACCUUGCCAAGGUGAGGGUCGCGGGUUCGAGCCCCGUCUCCCGCU